CUCUCCGCACAGUCUAAACACGUCACUCGUGUACACACUCGGACACACGUGCUUAGCUAGCACCGGGAUGAGGCAUUAUGUGAGCCAUUGUGUGUGUGA
rnacentral:lncRNA from 1 species